UACGUAGGGUGCAAGCGUUGUCCGGAAUUAUUGGGCGUAAAGAGCUCGUAGGCGGCCUGUUACGUCUGCUGUGAAAUCCCGGGGCUUAACCCCGGGCGUGCAGUGGAUACGGGCAGACUUGAGUUCGGUAGGGGAGACUGGAAUUCCUGGUGUAGCGGUGAAAUGCGCAGAUAUCAGGAGGAACACCGGUGGCGAAGGCGGGUCUCUGGGCCGAUACUGACGCUGAGGAGCGAAAGCGUGGGGAGCGAACAGG
rnacentral:rRNA from 1 species